GUGCGUUUUCACUUUUUAAACCGCCGUGAUUUGAUUGUAAGUGUGAUGCUCGAGCCUCGUACGCUGACGCUGGUCCAGUAAUCUGGAGUAGCGUAUGGAUGCCUAGUUCUAAGUUUGCAGUGCUCUUGACGGUCGGUCGUGUGGUGCGCUGUUUUGGCAGCAUUUGAGAUGUCCUUGUUCCAGGCUUGCUCAUCGCUCAGGGAGCUUGAUUAGGGUAUGGUUGAGCGCUGUCCGUCUACUCGACAAUUCUAUGCUUGACGCUGCAUCUGCUGUUGCUGUGACGGGAUUGGAGUUGUGCUACUGCCGAACCAGUCGCUCCUCCAUCGCGGCCACCAUGAACAAGCUUGGCAGGGGGCAUCGGGACAAGGUCCAACAGUUUAUGACCAUUGCUGGAGCGAAUGAGAAAGCUGCGCUUACAGCCUUGAAGGCUAGUGAUUGGAACUUGGAAGGAGCUUUCGAAGUAUUUUUCAAUCAGCCACCUCCUAGACCACUCACAGACCCCCGACAGCUGGAAGAGUUUUAUCUGAGAUAUAAAGAUGCAUAUUCGGAUAUGAUAUUGGUCGAUGGAGUUUCAGCAUUCUGUGAUGAUUUGCAGGUAGACCCUGGAGAUGUCGUCAUGCUAGUAAUCUCCUGGCAUAUGAAAGCAGCAACUAUGUGUGAGUUCUCAAAACAGGAGUUCAUUGGUGGUCUCCAAUCUAUAGGGGUGGAUUCACUCGAUAAACUUAAGUCCAUCCUCACUUCCAUGCGAGCAGAGCUGAAAGAUGAACAUAAAUUUCGAGAGAUAUACAACUUCGCUUUCAGUUGGGCCAAGGAAAAGGGACAAAAAUCAUUGGCUUUAGACACUGCCCUAGGCAUGUGGCGACUAUUAUUUGCGGAGCGAUCAUGGCCUCUUGUAGAACCAUGGUGUCAGUUCCUGCAAGCAACUCUAAGGCAUUGUUUGGGUUGUACAGGCUAAGCACAAUAAAGCCAUUUCAAAGGACACUUGGUCUCAACUGCUCGAAUUCUCUAGGACAAUCGAUCCUUCGCUCAUGAACUAUGACGCAGAAGGGGCUUGGCCUUACUUAAUUGACGAGUUUGUGGAGUAUUUGCGGGAAAAUGGGGUAGUGCAUUCUCGUUGAGUAUGUUUAUUUGGCUGUGUAAUUGGUAUUCAUUACUAUUGGGGUUCCUGGUUGUGGGUUCCUUAGUCCAAGUUUUCUAUAUCCAUCGGAAGGUCGAUCGACUGUUAAGAACUGCUUGCAGGAAAAUAUGUAGUGUUACUAUCUUACGAGACUACCUUCCACGGGAAUUUUACAAUGAUAGAAACAUAUAGUGGAGUUUGACGAAGUCUUGGACCGUUUCUCCCAAGGUUUAGGUAUCAAGCAACUCUGUGUGUUCGAAUACUACAAAGUUUUCACGAAGGCAAAACCUGGUCUGGCCAUCAAGGUCUCUAUAUGUGUGGGUUCGUGGGCCCAACAAUCACAAGAUGAAUGUUAAAAGAGCCUGGAGAUUAUCUGGGCCAUGAUGUGUGCCGUUAUAUGGUUGCUUGCUAUGGCAAGCCUUGAAUUCACAAAUUUUGCAAGUCGAACCCUCAAUGGGAAU